GGGGGCGCCCUCGCAGCUGGGGUGAGGGCGGGUCCGAGGGAGCGUCCCUCUCGGAGACACCCUCCUCUUCAACCCAACACGCGCUCUCAGCUGGCCGGUGUGGCACAACCCUCCCCCCACCUCCCCUUCUUGGCCUUCGCCAGUGUGGGAGCCUCGUCUCACUGGAGAGUCCGUUCAGUAUCUAUUGGGAAACAACCCCUAGGCAAGGAGAAGAACCGGGGGCCGGAGCGGAGCGUGUUUCAGAGGUGCGUAUAAAAUCCCAGGGGCGCCAGGAGGCAGCAGCGACGGCGCAGCGUGGGACGGCCAGGCGCGACGGGAGGGAAGCAACCGGUUGCAGUCCGGCCUCCUGUACCUGGCUGGCCCGGGCUGGGGCUGCAAGCUUUCCAGCCAAACUUAUGUGAAGCAAAGUAGUUGCAGUUUGACAAAGAAUGGCGUUUCAAUAAAUGACAUAGUAAUUUUU
rnacentral:lncRNA from 1 species